CCAGAACCUGCGAUGCACUGCAGAGCAGCGCCCGGAUGAAUGCUGCCCCCUCACCGGCUCAACGCUCCUCUGUCAUGCAGCGCUUUGGGUUUUCUCUCCUCAAAAUUCUCAUUGAGAAUAACACACCUGGAUUUCUAACCAUAAGAAUAGGACAUUCUGAAAACUGUCCGGGCGGGCAACGAGAGCCAAAAUCAGGAUGCUCAGUCUGUAGUACUUCCUGAAGAGACUUUGACUUUAAACAGGACACACUUGUGCUCCUCUGCCCCAGACAUAGUUGCUUCAAAUGCAUCAUAAGUAUUAAAUGUAAUAUUUUUCUUUAGUUAUUUGAACAGCUCAAAGUAGACUCCAGUCCUGCAACUGCUACUCAGUCAAAACUUCUGUUAUGGGGAGGGGACACUUUUUCUGGUGGAGAAUGGAACAAGGUCUCAAAAUGAGGAUAGAAAGUUUUCUGUGUUCUUUGAAAAUAGCAUCCUUUUUUUUUUUUUCAAACUCUGAGCAGAAUGUUUUUAUAAAAAUGUGCUUUAUUAAUAAAAUGAGAAGUUCUGAACAUA